GACUGGACUUGUUCGUCGUGAACGGACGUUGCUGUUGCUCGAACUCGAACUCUGUUGAUAAGAGCGGCAAUCACUUUGUACAACUUACUCACACCCCCGCCCACAGCCAUGUGUGUUAGAAAGAGAGACAGAAGACCUCCGUCCGAUGAUUAAAUUCCAAUAGUAAAAUGAGCAACACAGAAAUUCCCCAUGAUAGAGAUGUCAAGCCACAAUAUUUAAGCCGCCAAGGAGAAACUUUCCAGCUCGAAUUUAUUUGUGUGGCUUCAACAUAACUCGGAAAAUAGCUCUGAUCUACUUAGUUCUAGUCCUAGUUCUAUAU
rnacentral:lncRNA from 1 species